CGGGUAGCUGGUCUGAGAGGAUGACCAGCCACACUGGGACUGAGACACGGCCUAGACUCCUACGGGAGGCAGCAGUGGGGAAUAUUGGACAAUGGGCGAAAGCCUGAUCCAGCCAUGCCGCGUGAGUGAUGAAGGUCUUCGGAUCGUAAAGCUCUGUGGGAAGGGACGAAAAAGCCUAACCUAAUACGUUAGGUCUUGACGGUACCUUCUUAGCAAAGCACCGGCUAACUCCGUGCCAGCAGCCGCGGUAAUACGGAGGGUGCAAACGUUGCUCGGAAUUAUUGGGCGUAAAGCGCACGUAGGCGGUCCGCUAAGUCGGAUGUGAAAGCCCUCGGCUUAACCGAGGAAGUGCAUCCGAAACUGACGGGCUAGAGUACGGAAGAGGGUUUCGGAAUUCCCGGUGUAGAGGUGAAAUUCGUAGAUAUCGGGAGGAACACCAGUGGCGAAGGCGGAAACCUGGGCCGGAUACUGACGCUGAGGUGCGAAAGCGUGGGGAGCGAAACAGGAUUAGAUACCCU
rnacentral:rRNA from 1 species